UUCUGUCAAAUUGUUUGCACCGGCUAAAAGUGAACAGCAUUGCCAACCUUUAUAAUCUCUGAUUUACGCACCCGACGCCGGACCGCCACCGAACAAUAAAAAGCAAUUUAUUUUUCUCCCGCGCACUUUUUUCAUUAGCAAACAAGAAUGACGUGUAAAACAAGCGUUCGCUGUGACGAGGGUACCCGUAAAUAACCGAAGGGAAGUAAUUAUCCGCCUGUAUGUAUGGACAUUAAAAGUCUGUGCCGGAAUGAUUCGUUCUUUUUGGAAUACAAAAACAAAAUAUUGGUUCGCAAAAUAAUGAAAAAGAAAAAAGCCGUGCCUACGUGUACAAUACCUUCUAAGUAGUUAAUUUGUAAACAUUCAAAGGUAUCAGUCUCAAUACAGGUUAUAUGAAGUUACGUCGUGCAAUAAAAAUAAUAACUGUCGGGGCGGAGGCCUAGCGGAACCGGAAACGUCCGGGUGACGCGCCUCUCAAAUUGUCGGUGUCGCACCCAUUCAUAACCUGUGGUCUCAUACCUGAGAGUGAGGUUUCCGAAAGCCACGCGGUUUUACUGUUGGUUCGCUUAGGUUUAGUUUUAUGUACGAAACAGUUAUAUGUAAACCUCAACAGCAUAUGAUGUUCUCGAAGUCUUCGAUAAUGCAUGGAAUUUGUCAGGAAAAGUUCUCGGAAAUAGAAUUGGAAAUAUUCAAGGAAACACAUUUUCCGAAUCAACAUUUAUAACAAUGUGUCUAUCAGAAUGUGUCUAUCCUAUUUACUCCUUAACGUUUCAACGUUAAGGAGUUCUAUAACGUUAAGGAUUAAAUACAUUAAUUAUUUUUAUUUAAAAACAUUUUUACAAUUUUUUUUAACGUUUCGUUUCGUAUUUUAAUA